GCUCUAAAAUUUGAUCAUUUCUUUCCUGACACAGAUGAAGCUCAACCCAUAGAGUUCUUCCAGUAAAUUGUUGAUGCAGAAAUUGUGAUAAGUCUGUGGCCAUGGAUUGGAAGAGAGACAAUUAGUAUUUGGGACCAUAACCCUUGGGCCUCAGAUGUGCUAAGGCCACUCCUAUUUAUUCCAUGCAAUGUUCCUGCACUCUGCCUACAGACCUGCUAACAUGAGAAUGCUCGAAUGACCAAAAACAGGAAAGAAAGAAUUAUGUUAAUCCCUUUUAUAGUCAUAAACUCAAGUUGUUUUUCCUUUACUCAAAACUGAUUCUCAUCAAGAUGCUGCCUGACCUGCCGAGUUCCUUCAGCAUUUUGUGUGUGUAGCUCUGGACUUCCAGCAUCUGCAGAAUCUCUUGUGUUUAUGAAUUGUGAAGUAAUAGCUGUCGGAUCAUCAUAUUCUACUAGGAUAUAAAGAGUAAAUGACUGGAACUUUGGGAGGAAUUGAACAGGCAGAUCUUGAAGUACAAGUCCCUAUCUGCCUGGAAGUGGCAACACAGAUGAAAAAAGUGUGAAGAUGUCCUUUUCAUAUGCCUUCCUUUUAUAAAGCUGGUGUGUUCAGUAUAAGGAGUGGGAUUGCAAUGGCCUUAAACAUUGGUUUAAUAACUUUGACUUUCCCUCUGGCUUUCAAGAGGUCACCCUUUCUGAAGGAAGAAGACAUGAUCUAAUUUUCAUCAACUCAUAUGGG